rnacentral:rRNA from 1 species
AUUCCAGCUCCAGUAGCGUAUAUUAAAGUUGUUGCAGUUAAAAAGCUCGUAGUUGAACUUUGGGUCUGGUUGGCCGGUCCGAUUUUAUGUCGCGCACUGGUUUUCAACCGGAUCUUUCCUUCUGGCUAACCUGUACUCCUUGUGGGUGCAGGCGAACCAGGACUUUUACUUUGAAAAAAUUAGAGUGUUCAAAGCAGGCGAAAGCUCGAAUAUAUUAGCAUGGAAUAAUGGAAUAGGACGUUUGGUUCUAUUUUGUUGGUUUCUAGGACCAUCGUAAUGAUUAAUAGGGACGGUCGGGGGCAUCAGUAUUCAAUUGUCAGAGGUGAAAUUCUUGGAUUUAUUGAAGACUAACUACUGCGAAAGCAUUUGCCAAGGACGUGUUCAUUG